rnacentral:rRNA from 1 species
UACGAAGGGGGCUAGCGUUGUUCGGAAUUACUGGGCGUAAAGCGCGCGCAGGCGGCCAUUCAAGUCAGGGGUGAAAGCCCAGAGCUCAACUCUGGAACUGCCCUUGAAACUAGGUGGCUAGAGUACGGGAGAGGUGAGUGGAAUUCCCAGUGUAGAGGUGAAAUUCGUAGAUAUUGGGAAGAACACCGGUGGCGAAGGCGGCUCACUGGCCCGUUACUGACGCUCAGGCGCGACAGCGUGGGGAUCAAACAGG